CCUACGGGUGGCUGCAGUGGGGAAUAUUGGGCAAUGGAGGCAACUCUUACCCAGCAAUGCCGCGUGAAUGAAGAAGGUCUUCGGAUUGUUAAGCUCUUUAAUUGUGGGCGAAAAAAAUGACGGUACCCAAGGAAUAAGCCCCGGCUAACUACGUGCAAGCAGCCGCGGGAAUACGUCGGGGGCAAGCGUUGUUCGGAAUGACUGGGCGUAAAGGGUGUGUAGGCGGUGUAGCAAGUUAGAAGGGAAAUACCUAGGGCUUAACUCAGGUGCUGCUUCUAAAACUGCUAUACUUGAGUGCAGUAGAGGAAAGUGGAAUUCCUAGUGUAGCGGUGGAAUGCGUAGAUAUUAGGAGGAACAUCAGUGGCGAAGGCGGCUUUCUGGACUGUAACUGACGCUGAGGCACGAAAGUGUGGGGAGCAAACAGGAUUAGAUACCCUUGUAGUC
rnacentral:rRNA from 1 species